rnacentral:rRNA from 1 species
UCUGACGGAGCACGCCGCGUGAGUGAUGAAGGUUUUCGGAUCGUAAAGCUCUGUUGUUAGGGAAGAACAAGUACCGUUCGAAUAGGGCGGUACCUUGACGGUACCUAACCAGAAAGCCACGGCUAACUACGUGCCAGCAGCCGCGGUAAUACGUAGGUGGCAAGCGUUGUCCGGAAUUAUUGGGCGUAAAGGGCUCGCAGGCGGUUUCUUAAGUCUGAUGUGAAAGCCCCCGGCUCAACCGGGGAGGGUCAUUGGAAACUGGGGAACUUGAGUGCAGAAGAGGAGAGUGGAAUUCCACGUGUAGCGGUGAAAUGCGUAGAGAUGUGGAGGAACACCAGUGGCGAAGGCGACUCUCUGGUCUGUAACUGACGCUGAGGAGCGAAAGCGUGGGGAGCGAACAGGAUUAGAUACCCUGGUAGUCCACGCCGUAAACGAUGAGUGCUAAGUGUUAGGGGGUUUCCGCCCCUUAGUGCUGCAGCUAACGCAUUAAGCACUCCGCCUGGGGAGUACGGUCGCAAGACUGAAACUCAAAGGAAUUGACGGGGGCCCGCACAAGCGGUGGAGCAUGUGGUUUAAUUCGAAGCAACGCGAAGAACCUUACCAGGUCUUGACAUCCUCUGACAAUCCUAGAGAUAGGACGUCCCCUUCGGGGGCAGAGUGACAGGUGGUGCAUGGUUGUCGUCAGCUCGUGUCGUGAGAUGUUGGGUUAAGUCCCGCAACGAGCGCAACCCUUGAUCUUAGUUGCCAGCAUUCAGUUGGGCACUCUAAGGUGACUGCCGGUGACAAACCGGAGGAAGGUGGGGAUGACGUCAAAUCAUCAUGCCCCUUAUGACCUGGGCUACACACGUGCUACAAUGGACAGAACAAAGGGCAGCGAAACCGCGAGGUUAAGCCAAUCCCACAAAUCUGUUCUCAGUUCGGAUCGCAGUCUGCAACUCGA